rnacentral:rRNA from 1 species
CACCCAUGCAUGUUUCUGACAUUUGAAAAAUGGACUGCUCAGUAAUACUCACUUUAUUUUAAGUAAAUUUUUAAUUAACUACGUUAAAGUGUAGAUAAGAUGUUUACAGUAAGAGUGAGACCUAUCAGCUAGUUGUUAAGGUAAUGGCUUAACAAGGCUGUGACGGGUAACGGUAUUACUUUGUAAUAUUCCGGAGAAGGAGCCUGAGAGACGGCUACUAAGUCUAAGGAUUGCAGCAGGGGCGAAACUUGACCUAUGGAUUUUAUCUGAGGCAGUUAUGGGAAGUAAUAUUAUAUUGUUUCAUAUUUUAAAAGUAUAUGAGGUGAUUAAUUGGAGGGCAAAUCAAGUGCCAGCAGCCGCGGUAAUACUUGUUCCAAGAGUGUGUAUGAUGAUUGAUGCAGUUAAAAAGUCCGUAGUUUAUUUUUUUAAUAAGCAA